rnacentral:lncRNA from 13 species
ACUGGAUCUCACUUGGCCUCCAGUCCCACAUGUGACCUCCUCUGAGGGGCCGUCCCUGCUCCACUUACCAAAGCAGCGCUGGAGUCACAGCCCCAUAUGUUACCUAUUUUUUAGCCCUUACUCCUGCCUAAUUUUAAAAAUGUAUUUUUCUAGGAGCUUAAUAGCACUCUCGACACUAGAAUAUAACUUCUUUUUGAGCAGAGAAGGAAGAGGUAAGAAUCCUUCCAUGCCGGACUUCAGUGGAAAAUUGACCUCUUAGGAAUUUUCAGAGUAGGAAAUCCAGGUAAACAAAAAAGGUUAAUAGCCAGAGAAAACCAUUACGACGUAUUCCCGUUUAGCGGAACCAGAGUUGCCCACCAUUUUUAUAGUUAAAGAUCAUUCGUGUGGACCUGGAGACCAUGUUCUGUGUUUUGUAAUCUUCAAUGUCAGUACGUUUAUUAUCAUCCCAGAGUUGAAAGACAAAAAACCAAGCACCUUAUUUCUUAGGAGUUGAGCUUCUCUUGAGAUGAGGUUCUUUUCGUUUCUUCUCCAUGCUAGCCCCCACUUCCCAGUUCCACUGAAGCGUGGUCCUAGAGGAAUUUCUUCCUCCUUGGGUGGGAAGGCUGAAGGGUGAGAAGAAGGGGAGGACAGAGGGAGCCCUAGCAGAAAAAGGAGAGGGAAGCAGGGAGAAAGUACCAGGCUGGAGCCGACUCUGGUACAAGGGGACAGUACACUGUGAAAAAGGAACUUGGAAUGUCUUGUGGCAGAUCACAGGCCCUACAUCUGCAAAUGCAGGGUAGAGUUCAGAUUAGAUUAGCAUUAGCUUAGAUUUUAUCCCUAACUAUAGCUUAAAUUCUAAGGAGAAAAAUCCCACCUCCAUAUCUUCUCCAGCUGCAAAUCCAGAAUUCUCCACCAGUCCAGGGAGUCUGAACUUGACUUUUCUUUAAUGAGAGGAAAAACCAUUCUUCUACAAUAAUAGAUUAAAAACUUUACAAAUUCAAGUGAAAGAAACACCUCGGUGUGAGGAAUGUAAAAAUAUACCUGACAGCUUUCUUUCCUGUUUGUUUUGGGCAGGCGGG